UCGGGAAUUUUGGGCAAUGGGCGAAAGCCUGACCCAGCAACGCCGCGUGAAGGAUGAAGUAUUUCGGUAUGUAAACUUCGAAAGAAUAGGAAGAAUAAAUGACGGUACUAUUUAUAAGGUCCGGCUAACUACGUGCCAGCAGCCGCGGUAAUACGUAGGGACCAAGCGUUGUUCGGAUUUACUGGGCGUAAAGGGCGCGUAGGCGGCAAUUCAAGUCAUCUGUGAAAUCUCCGGGCUUAACUCGGAACGGUCAGAUGAUACUGCUUUGCUAGAGUGCAGAAGGGGCAAUCGGAAUUCUUGGUGUAGCGGUGAAAUGCGUAGAUAUCGGGAGGAACACCUGUGGCGAAGGCGGCCACCUGGUUGGAUACUGACGCUGAGACGCGAAAGCGUGGGGAGCAAACAGGAUUAGAUACCCCCGUAGUCCCUGAGCGGGCUGGCAAGGCGCAU
rnacentral:rRNA from 1 species